rnacentral:rRNA from 1 species
CCCUUAGAUGUUCUGGGCCGCACGCGUGCUACACUGAGUGGAUCAGCGGGUCAGGUUGCGCGAAAGUGUUUCCUAAUCUUUAAAUCCGCUCGUGAUGGGGAUUGACGGUUGCAAUUUUCCGUCAUGAACGAGGAAUACCUUGUAAGCGCGGGUCAUCAUCCCGCGCUGAAUACGUCCCUGCCCUUUGUACACACCGCCCGUCGCUCCUACCGAUUGAGUGGUCCGGUGAGGCUUUGGGAUCUGGGCGGAAAGAGCGUUUCGCUGUUUCUGCCCGGAAAACUCAGUCGAACCUUAUCAUUUAGAGGAAGGGGAAGUCGUAACA